UCUUUUUCCUCUAUUUUUUGAGAUUUCCUACUACUUUUCCCCCUUUACUUCAUUAAUUAAGUACCAAAAACCAAACAUCUUCAUUGAAAAGGUUCCUGUUGAAGAAACUUAACUGUUUCUUCCAUCAUAUUGAAAAUAACGAAGCCUAGCAGUUUAUAACAAGUAAAACCAACCAAACCUUUCUCUUUGUUUACGUAAUUUAUACAUCGAUGUGGUUACGUCUUACUCCUUCCAUUCUCUCAUUAUUCAUAAAUGUGGUAACCCGUUACUGCAAUUCCAUUCUUUCUAUUUUAAAUAAGCAUUUAAACAUUUAAUUCUUUUUAAUAGUUCAUCAAUGUGCUUACCCGUUAUAUAUUACUUGAUCAUUUUGUAUUCUAUGAGAUUUGGCAAUCAAGUAAAUGGACGCAUGUAGAUACAGAGGUUCGUGAAGUACAAAGAGACAAAUAAGCAACGUACGUCAGUGACCGGUAGAAGCCGCAUGCCAAGAUUGUUAGUACUAUAUGUUUGAUACUAUACAGUGAGGAACAAAGAUCUCUUGCAUUCUCCUCUAAAUCUCCGCUGCCAGUGCCAGAAGCCUCGCCCCAAGAUUGAUAUUUUCUACAUCUAAUCAGCAAGUUCACAUGAAUGUUCACAACUUGUACUCCAUCUUUUUAUCAUGAGGUCAAUUGCUCUUUCCUAUAUAUGUCCUGUUGGGUUAAUAAUAAGUAGCAACAUUUCAUACCUGCAGAGACUAGACUCAACAGAAACUUGAGUUGCACCGUAGAAAGAUUGGAAUUGAUCAUCUGAACCCAACCAAGUUCCAGCUAAUGGGCUCAUUGGAGGGUUAGUUGUCUUCUGGAAUGAGGCUCUCAUCACUGUAGAGGAAUUGAUAAUGUCUGAGCAGGAGAUACACUGCCUCGUUCAGGUACCUACUAAGGAUGCUCCAUGAUCCGCAGCUUACACAUAUGUAUAGAGAACAAAAAAGAUUAGCAGAUAAAUUAGCAAAUUUGGGAAGUCUUUUGCAAGCAACUUAUCAAAUAGAAGUCUUGCACCCGCCACCACUUUUUGCUGAACAAAUUUUGGAAGAUGACAAGUUAGGACUGCAAAGGAUCCGCUCAAUAUCACAAAAUGUACAUGAUGUUCAAGAUCAACCACCUAUAGUGCAUGGACGGAACCUUUAUAGUCUUAGUCCAAGCUGUAUUGGCGGCUUAAAUAGAGAUAGAUCUACUACUAAUAUUUGUAAUAUAAGAUCUGCUACUACUCCUAACUUAAUUGGCUAUAUGCUUACUGCUACUACAAGUAACUUGGUUUGUAAUAUGGUGCAAUAUAUGCACCAGCCACUCUGUACGCAUGCUUAGUUAUAUAUAA